CCUACGGGUGGCAGCAGUGGGGAAUAUUGCGCAAUGGGCGAAAGCCUGACGCAGCGACGCCGCGUGAGGGAUGAAGGUCUUCGGAUCGUAAACCUCUGUCAGCAGGGAAGAACGGUCACUGUGCUAAUCAGCAGUGAAUUGACGGUACCUGCAAAGGAAGCACCGGCUAACUCCGUGCCAGCAGCCGCGGUAAUACGGAGGGUGCGAGCGUUAAUCGGAAUUACUGGGCGUAAAGCGAUCGUAGGCGGUAUGUCAAGUCAAGGGUGAAAUCCCCGCGCUCAACGUGGGAACUGCCUUUGAAACUGGCAAACUGGAGUGUGUGAGAGGAUAGUGGAAUGCCAGGUGUAGGAGUGAAAUCCGUAGAUAUCGGGAGGAACAUCAGUGGCGAAGGCGACUAUCUGGAACAUAACUGACGCUGAGGAGCGAAAGCGUGGGUAGCAAACAGGAUUAGAUACCCCAGUAGUC
rnacentral:rRNA from 1 species